UACGAAGGGGGCUAGCGUUGCUCGGAAUUACUGGGCGUAAAGGGCGCGUAGGCGGAUACUUAAGUCGGGGGUGAAAGCCCGGGGCUCAACCUCGGAAUUGCCUUCGAUACUGGGUAUCUUGAGUUCGGGAGAGGUGAGUGGAAUGCCGAGUGUAGAGGUGAAAUUCGUAGAUAUUCGGCGGAACACCAGUGGCGAAGGCGACUCACUGGCCCGAUACUGACACUGAUGCGCGAAAGCGUGGGGAGCGAUCCGG
rnacentral:rRNA from 1 species